AUGGAUUUGUAUGAGCUACUUGAGAGGUUAUGGGACAAAAACAUGACAGUAGAUGAUGUGGGCCUUAGUGGAACUUAUGGUCUCAAUGGCGACAUGAUGCAAAUUAAACCAUCCCAUGUUCGUGUAAGGAAUCUUGAUGCUAGGCGGCCUUCGCAAGGUUUGGCAGACAUGAUAUUCCGCAAUAUUUUGAACCGCUGGACAAAUGAUGUUGAACUAAGGCACUUUCAUCAAUUCCUCCUUAAUACAAAUAUAUGCAAAGAAGAUGUCCUCAAUCAUCCAUUCCUAGGAAACUCCGGUGCUAGGGAGGGCAUGUACAAGAAAUUGUUUAGAAGAAAUUUUACCCAACGUCAAAAAGAUUGGUUGCAGAACAACAUUAACACACAAGGGUGGCAAGUCCGAGUUGAUCCUGCUGAUCCAAAUGCAGAUUUUGGUUUUAGAGAGAUUAUGCUUUUUCAGAAACAAAAUAAGUGGGCCAAUGCGUUUGAGCCAAAUACUUGGGGUGCCUUACACUUUGCAAAAAUAGCCGUAUCCCAUUAUCACGAACAUGAUCCUGUCGGGCGUCCCCAGCUUGAUGCUAAGCUCAAGGAUCUUCUACCUGGACUACUUGCUGGAGUAUAUGGUGCAACGUUUAAUCGGGACUUUUUAAAAGGUCCCGGAUGA
rnacentral:rRNA from 1 species